AAACAAGAAGGAAUCCUCACCAGCCGCGGCACUUGAACUUCAUUUAGGCAGUAUUAGAGUAAAUUAAUCCAUGAGAACUUUUUUUCCCCAUUUU